GCCUAACACAUGCAAGUCGAACGGAUCCUUCGGGAUUAGUGGCGGACGGGUGAGUAACACGUGGGAACGUGCCCUUUGGUUCGGAACAACUCAGGGAAACUUGAGCUAAUACCGGAUGUGCCCUUCGGGGGAAAGAUUUAUCGCCAUUGGAGCGGCCCGCGUCUGAUUAGCUAGUUGGUGAGGUAAAGGCUCACCAAGGCGACGAUCAGUAGCUGGUCUGAGAGGAUGAUCAGCCACAUUGGGACUGAGACACGGCCCAAACUCCUACGGGAGGCAGCAGUGGGGAAUCUUGCGCAAUGGGCGAAAGCCUGACGCAGCCAUGCCGCGUGAAUGAUGAAGGUCUUAGGAUUGUAAAAUUCUUUCACCGGGGACGAUAAUGACGGUACCCGGAGAAGAAGCCCCGGCUAACUUCGUGCCAGCAGCCGCGGUAAUACGAAGGGGGCUAGCGUUGCUCGGAAUUACUGGGCGUAAAGGGAGCGUAGGCGGACUGUUAAGUUAGAGGUGAAAGCCCAGGGCUCAACCUUGGAAUUGCCUUUGAUACUGGCAGUCUUGAGUACGGAAGAGGUAUGUGGAACUCCGAGUGUAGAGGUGAAAUUCGUAGAUAUUCGGAAGAACACCAGUGGCGAAGGCGACAUACUGGUCCGUUACUGACGCUGAGGCUCGAAAGCGUGGGGAGCAAACAG
rnacentral:rRNA from 1 species